rnacentral:rRNA from 1 species
AGCGAACGCUGGCGGCAGGCCUAACACAUGCAAGUCGAACGAACCUUUCGGGGUUAGUGGCGGACGGGUGAGUAACACGUGGGAACGUGCCUUUAGGUUCGGAAUAACUCAGGGAAACUUGUGCUAAUACCGAAUGUGCCCUUCGGGGGAAAGAUUUAUCGCCUUUCGAGCGGCCCGCGUCUGAUUAGCUAGUUGGUUGAGGUAAUGGCUCACCAAGGCGACGAUCAGUAGCUGGUCUGAGAGGAUGAUCAGCCACAUUGGGACUGAGACACGGCCCAAACUCCUACGGGAGGCAGCAGUGGGGAAUCUUGCGCAAUGGGCGAAAGCCUGACGCAGCCAUGCCGCGUGAAUGAUGAAGGUCUUAGGAUUGUAAAAUUCUUUCACCGGGGACGAUAAUGACGGUAACCGGAGAAGAAGCCCCGGCUAACUUCGUG